rnacentral:rRNA from 1 species
ACCAAGCCGACGAUCAGUAGCCGGCCUGAGAGGGUGGACGGCCACAUUGGGACUGAGACACGGCCCAGACUCCUACGGGAGGCAGCAGUGGGGGAUAUUGCACAAUGGAGGAAACUCUGAUGCAGCAACGCCGCGUGAGGGAAGAAGGUCUUCGGAUUGUAAACCUUUGUCCUUGGUGACGAAACAAAUGACGGUAGCCAAGGAGGAAGCUCCGGCUAACUAC